rnacentral:tRNA from 1 species
GUGAUCGUAGUUCAGUUGGUAGAGCGCUAGAUUGUGAUUCUAGAUGUCGUGGGUUCGAGCCCCAUCGGUCACCCCA